rnacentral:rRNA from 1 species
CCUUAGAGUUUGAUCAUGGCUCAGAACGUACGCUGGCGGCACGCCUAACACAUGCAAGUCGAACGAAGUAGCAAUACUUAGUGGCAGACGGGUGAGUAACAUGUGGGUAUCUACCCUUUGGCCUGGAAUAACACGAGGAAACUUGUGCUAAUACCGGAUAAGUCUUUACGGAGAAAGCUUUAUGCACCAUUGGAUGAGCCCGCACUUGAUUAGUUUGUUGGUAGGGUAAUGGCCUACCAAGACUAUGAUCAAUAGCUGAUUUGAGAGGAUGAUCAGCCACAUUGGGACUGAGACACGGCCCAAACUCCUACGGGAGGCAGCAGUGGGGAAUCUUGCACAAUGGAGGAAACUCUGAUGCAGCGAUGCCGCGUGAGUGAAGAAGGCCUUUGGGUUGUAAAGCUCUUUCGUCGGGGAAGAAAAUGACUGUACCCGAAUAAGAAGGUCCGGCUAACUUCGUGCCAGCAGCCGCGGUAAUACGAAGGGACCUAGCGUAGUUCGGAAUUACUGGGCUUAAAGAGUUCGUAGGUGGUUGAAAAAGUUAGUGGUGAAAUCCCAGAGCUUAACUCUGGAACUGCCAUUAAAACUUUUCAGCUAGAGUAUGAUAGAGGAAAGCAGAAUUUCUAGUGUAGAGGUGAAAUUCGUAGAUAUUAGAAAGAAUACCAAUUGCGAAGGCAGCUUUCUGGAUCAUUACUGACACUGAGGAACGAAAGCAUGGGUAGCGAAGAGGAUUAGAUACCCUCGUAGUCCAUGCCGUAAACGAUGUGUGUUAGACGUUGGAAAUUUAUUUUCAGUGUCGCAGGGAAAACCGAUAAACACACCGCCUGGGGAGUACGACCGCAAGGUUAAAACUCAAAUGAAUUGACGGGGACCCGCACAAGUAGUGG